UUUUUAUACGUUCAAAAUUUGGGAAAACUUCCUUCAUGAAAGUUGUAGAGCUCGUCGAUACGAGUUCGUGGACAUGUGGAACGCAUUAUUUGGAGUUCGUAUGAAUAAGUUAUGAAUAUUUUAAAAUUGAGAAUUUUCUAUAAAUACAAAAAAUCAGAUUUCUCAAUAAGGAAACCCGAAAAUUUCCAGAUUUUUCUCCUCCUCGCUGCCUUGGCUUCACGGCGUCGCCACGACUUCAUCCGGCCACCUAUGGCCAUGAAAUUGAUAUCAAUCUCUUCGCCUUGAAACCAGCUUUCCAUUCAUAUAUGUCUUGCAUCCUAUCAUUCACCAUAGACAACGAAUCGAAGCAAAGAAGGUCAGACCAUUUUUCAUGCAUUUCUUCAAAUUCCAGCCAACUCCGGCAAAGGUAGGAGGGGAGACCAACUGGGCUUUGUUCGCCUUGCCAUGCUCUAUAAACUCACCAAGUUUCACAUCUCGAUUCAACCCGAGGAAGACGAAUUUCAGAUUUGAGCGAUUUUGGGCGAUUUCGGCCUCUUUCUUCUUGAGGUGAUUGGCGGAUUGAUUUGGCGGACGAUUCGUAAAAUCGUUGUUGAGCUGUUUAGAAGACGCAACGGGAAUUAGAGCGGGUAAUCCUACAGGACAGGAGAACCAGGACGGUGAUCGUGCGGUUAGAGCAAUUGUUAGAGUUUUACAACAAUUGUAAGUUGUGAGGUGUGUUAUGCUCAUUUGAGCUUUAUAAUAUAUUGUGAGAGUGAAUUGUAAUAAUGAACUCGAAGUUUCGAGAUUUGGUUUUUUUGUAAUUGUAAUUAUUCAGGUUUCGGAUUUGAAUUUAUCAUUCAAAAUCCGGGGCGUGACAGUUUGGUAUCAGAGCGUAAGGUACAUAUUUGGUGAUAAUUAGUACCUCCCGAGUGAUGGCCCGUCUGCAGCGGAUCCCCAUCAUAUACUCUUCGGUACUGGUAAAAUCAUUGGGUAUGUCUUAGUAUGGGGUCUAGACAACGUGUAAGUCCGUAGGACGGUAGAGUUGUCUACUAAGUUCGUAUUAGAAUAAGUUUAGUUUCCGCGAGUUGUGAUCUUCGAGGAAUAGGAACCUCUGGAUUUAACUCUGAUGAGUCGGUGAGGUAGAGGUCGAGUCUGAUGUAGGGACAUGACCUUUCUAUGGAGACAGUUGAGGAUGAGGUGGAGGCAUUAGAGGUUGAGUUGCCUAGUCUACCUGUAGUUGAUGUGAUGGAUGUUAUUCUUGGGUUGAAAUGGUGAAAGAGAUUGAGACCCUAGGAAUAGUUGAAAAGAGAAUUGAUCUCACCAACUCAAGAUGAUAGGAGUGUGAGAGAUUAUGAGACAGAAUUCUCAAGACUAUAUUGGUGUUCGAGUGUAGUGAUGUAAUUUGGGAGAUACUUAUGUUACCUUUAAUAAGGGUAGUAUGUCAAGUGAUCAUGGCAUAGGUUGACUUUGUAAGUGAAGUGGUGGAGCUUGUGUAGCUUCUUUGAGUUAUCACCUUUGAGGAAUGGGAACCUUUGGAUUAAACUCUGGUGGAGUUAUUGAGGAUGGUUUUCACGAAAAACAGUAUCCUUAUGUGCAUUGUAGUCGUUGG